rnacentral:rRNA from 1 species
UGAUUGGUGCUUGCAUCAUGAUUUACAUUUGAGUGAGUGGCGAACUGGUGAGUAACACGUGGGAAACCUGCCCAGAAGCGGGGGAUAACACCUGGAAACAGAUGCUAAUACCGCAUAACAACUUGGACCGCAUGGUCCGAGCUUGAAAGAUGGCUUCGGCUAUCACUUUUGGAUGGUCCCGCGGCGUAUUAGCUAGAUGGUGGGGUAACGGCUCACCAUGGCAAUGAUACGUAGCCGACCUGAGAGGGUAAUCGGCCACAUUGGGACUGAGACACGGCCCAAACUCCUACGGGAGGCAGCAGUAGGGAAUCUUCCACAAUGGACGAAAGUCUGAUGGAGCAACGCCGCGUGAGUGAAGAAGGGUUUCGGCUCGUAAAACUCUGUUGUUAAAGAAGAACAUAUCUGAGAGUAACUGUUCAGGUAUUGACGGUAUUUAACCAGAAAGCCACGGCUAACUACGUGCCAGCAGCCGCGGUAAUACGUAGGUGGCAAGCGUUGUCCGGAUUUAUUGGGCGUAAAGCGAGCGCAGGCGGUUUUUUAAGUCUGAUGUGAAAGCCUUCGGCUCAACCGAAGAAGUGCAUCGGAAACUGGGAAACUUGAGUGCAGAAGAGGACAGUGGAACUCCAUGUGUAGCGGUGAAAUGCGUAGAUAUAUGGAAGAACACCAGUGGCGAAGGCGGCUGUCUGGUCUGUAACUGACGCUGAGGCUCGAAAGUAUGGGUAGCAAACAGGAUUAGAUACCCUGGUAGUCCAUACCGUAAACGAUGAAUGCUAAGUGUUGGAGGGUUUCCGCCCUUCAGUGCUGCAGCUAACGCAUUAAGCAUUCCGCCUGGGGAGUACGGCCGCAAGGCUGAAACUCAAAGGAAUUGACGGGGGCCCGCACAAGCGGUGGAGCAUGUGGUUUAAUUCGAAGCUACGCGAAGAACCUUACCAGGUCUUGACAUACUAUGCAAAUCUAAGAGAUUAGACGUUCCCUUCGGGGACAUGGAUACAGGUGGUGCAUGGUUGUCGUCAGCUCGUGUCGUGAGAUGUUGGGUUAAGUCCCGCAACGAGCGCAACCCUUAUUAUCAGUUGCCAGCAUUAAGUUGGGCACUCUGGUGAGACUGCCGGUGACAAACCGGAGGAAGGUGGGGAUGACGUCAAAUCAUCAUGCCCCUUAUGACCUGGGCUACACACGUGCUACAAUGGAUGGUACAACGAGUUGCGAACUCGCGAGAGUAAGCUAAUCUCUUAAAGCCAUUCUCAGUUCGGAUUGUAGGCUGCAACUCGCCUACAUGAAGUCGGAAUCGCUAGUAAUCGCGGAUCAGCAUGCCGCGGUGAAUACGUUCCCGGGCCUUGUACACACCGCCCGUCACACCAUGAGAGUUUGUAACACCCAAAGUCGGUGGGGUAACCUU